UACGAAGGGGGCUAGCGUUGCUCGGAAUCACUGGGCGUAAAGGGUGCGUAGGCGGGUCUUUAAGUCAGGGGUGAAAUCCUGGAGCUCAACUCCAGAACUGCCUUUGAUACUGAAGAUCUUGAGUUCGGGAGAGGUGAGUGGAACUGCGAGUGUAGAGGUGAAAUUCGUAGAUAUUCGCAAGAACACCAGUGGCGAAGGCGGCUCACUGGCCCGAUACUGACGCUGAGGUGCGAAAGCGUGGGGAGCAAACCGGG
rnacentral:rRNA from 1 species